AUUGAACGCUGGCGGCUGGCCUAACACAUGCAAGUCGAACGAGUGGCGGACGGGUGAGUAAUGUCUGGGAAACUGCCUGAUGGAGGGGGAUAACUACUGGAAAAGGUAGCUAAUACCGCAUACCAUCGGAUGUGCCCAGAUGGGAUUAGCUAGUAGGUGGGGUAACGGCUCACCUAGGCGACGAUCCCUAGCUGGUCUGAGAGGAUGACCGGCCACACUGGAACUGGGACACGGUCCAGACUCCUAGGGGAGGCAGCGUUGGGGAAUAUUGCACAAGGAGCGCAAGCCUGAUGCAGCAAGGCCGCGGGUAUGAAGAAGGCCUUCGGGUUGUAAGGUACUUUCAGCGGGGAGGCGUUACCCGCAGAAGAAGCACCGGCUAACUCCGUGCCAGCAGCCGCGGUAAUUC
rnacentral:rRNA from 1 species